GGCGAGAAGUCUGGCCUUGCGCCGGCCGGGGCAGCUUUUCGCCAAGGCUCCCGUGGGAUGGGAUAGCUUGUUCUCUGGGCUGCAGGAACCAAAACAUUAGACCACCCUUUCUGUGACCUUGGGCAUGCCGCCCUCGGUUCCGAGCCACUAGUCUUUCUUUCGGGGAAAAUGAAAAGGGGUCAAGAUUUGGACCAGAUGACACCCAAUGUCCCAUUCAACGGUCGCAUUCUGUCAUCCACAGGAAUUAGUCCUGUAUCCGAAACAUUCUCUGGAGCCUGGAGACAGAUGGAGGGGAAGACAGAAGAGAGAAUAAGGAGAAGAAUGGUUUCAUUUGGAAGGACACUGACUAAGGAAAAACAGAGAAAAGGAUGAAACCCAAGCCAACUCUGCAACUCUAUUAAAAACACCAAGACUUCAAUAUGAACCUGGCAUGGUGGGCACAGUCGGGCACUGCAGGCGGCUUGCCUCCAGCAGAAGGAAUACUGCUACUCAGCUCUAGAUGAUUGCCCUGAAGAAAUUCAUGCCCACUGAAUCUCCUUAAAGGGAGGCAGUGCAGUCUUCAUGGCUAGAGCUUCAGCAGCUAUCUAGAACCAUAUGGUGGAAGCCACUUACUGAGAACUGUGAAACAAGAGCCUGGGUCCCUGACAUAUGAAGCCACCAUACCUACCUUAAAGUGUCUUUCACUUGAGGGAAAAACACAUCUUUCUUA
rnacentral:lncRNA from 1 species